AUUGUCUAACAUGAUGUCCUAGGAGUGUCAUCUGAUGAAGAUUGUCAAAGGUUAGUGCUUAAUUUUAGCUGUAUAUCUGGUUUUGUGAUGGCUAGCGUGCUUGGAAAAUGGCUAUCGUGCUUGGAUUUUUUAUUUUUUUUGCUGAGGUGCUAUGCUAAAAUAAUCUAAUGUUUUGCUUUCACCGUAAAGCCUUUUUGAAAUCGGACAAUGUGAUUGGAUUAACGAGUAGAGUAUCUUUAAAAUGCCAUAUAAUACUUGAAUUUUAAUUUUGAGAUUAUUUUGUUUUGAAUAUCGCGCCAUGCUAUCUCACUGGUUGUUGUCCAACCAAUCCCGUUAUCGGGAUUGUAUCCUCAAGAGGUUUUAACAGACCAGUAACAAAAGAGAGUCCCAAACCACUCUGCCAAUAACAGCUAGUUUUCAGCUUCCCCACUCCCAGACAGUCGUAGCAACAUUUUUACUUGAGAAAUAGUUUUGCUAAAAAGCCAUUUUAAAUGGAAAUCUAUUACAGCAAGGUACUUCUAUAUCACCCAGAAAUGAUUUGAUAUAAAAACAGCUGCAUUGUCCUUUAAUUUAGGAGAUGGAAGCUCCUCAGCCUUGGAGAGUUUCCAAUCGAAUUAAGGAGAUUUUGGCUGUAGCGGGUGGGUGAUCUUGACCAUUGUUUGUUUGUUUGUGUACGGUGUGGGUGUUGGAUGGUUUGGACGGGGCUGCAGGUUCAGAUGGGAAAAAGCAGCGCUCAGCUCCCCAGCAUGUAAAUAGCUGCUCCACAUCAGAGUACUGGGGUGUGCGUGUGUUGCUGACAGCAGAGAGAGCACAUUAUAACCACAGGAGCAGCUCUUACAGAGAAAAACAUACAGACCAGGCUGAUGCGUCUGUAGAGCUCUUACAGACAGGAGUAAGCGAGGCUGGGACAGCGCCAUAGUCUACCUGUUUGAUAAGAGUCUGACUAAAUACUCUGGACCUUUCAAUGCCCGACCCCUGCCUGACAGCGUCAACUUCAUAGGUAGGCAUCACAACUACACUAUCCCAUAGGUAGGCAUCAGAACUACACAACCCUCUAGGUAGGGCUGGGCGAUUAUGGCCAAAAUAUAAUUUCACUGUAUUUUUCACAUUUGUUUUGGUAUUUUAUGUUUUUGAAUAAUACAAAUUCAAAAUUUAGUUUUGAGUACUGCGUGACCCUAGGGUGACAACAUAUACAUUCUAAGUGAUUUCAAUGGGUCUUCCUCCAUUCGGAUUUGUUUUAUAUUGUUCAAUUAAACAAAUGUUCUGCAUUUUCAUAUUUGUUUUCCUGCUCAUUUGAGAUCAUCUCCACACUGCCAUGUAGGGCUACACGAUAUUGGCCAAAAAAUCUCUGAUUUAAAUAAAAAAUAGGUUUUACCAAAUGUUGCAGUUGAGAUUUUGACUUUCGAUUUAGAUUAAAACACUUGGGUGAGCUAUUGAAGUCAUGGAAAUAUAAUGAUUAUUUUAAUUCUAUAGUUAGAAUAUAAUAGUAGGCACUUUGAAUACUCUGUAUGACAUGACAAUGAAUUAAAGUGCCAGGGAGGAGUUAUUGUGACACGGUAGGAACCAAAGUGUUGGUCAAUGUUUCCUACGGUACCCUAUAGUCUUUGGCUACAUUAAAUGUUUUCUCUUAGCUACUUCAUGUAGGUAACUUAUUCCUGCUUCGCCUAAUCCUCUUCGGUUUAGAAGAUACUGUUACACAAACAACAUGCUGAUUUAGGCCUACACCAUAACUGGUAUCAGGCUGUAUUAGCUAGCUAUGUUUGCUCCGACUUGGUACAUUUAUUAGCUAGCCAGCUAACUAGCUAUUAGCAUUAGCGGCUAACAGGAUUUAGGCACAACAUGCUUUGAAAAGACAAACUAGCUGUUUGCAGAUAUUGUAAUUAUAGAGGUCUAGUGGAUUUUUAGUAAGACACAAAGUGGAAACAGCAUGGUUGUCAUCAACAUUGUUGCAUGAUAUGCAUUGACCAUGCAGACUGAACGCAAGUGUGUCCUGGUCGAGCAACAACAACAUGCGCUCCUUGAGUAACAGGGGGCGGGGCUUGAUCUGUGUAGAAAGCGUAUAUUAUAAAAAUGUACCUUACACAUGGCGUAUCACAUUUAACAAACCAAACAUUAAAAUACCAUUAUAGAAGAUAAAGUAAAAACCCAAACCGGUCUGUGCAUCAAUACCUGUAUAUUGUAAAAUACGGUAUACCACCCAGCCCUACCUCCUAGGUAGGCUUCACAACUACACAACCCCAUAGGUAGGCUUCACAACUACACAAUCCCAUAGGUAGGCAUCACAAUUUAACAACUCCAUAGGUACUGUAGGCUUAAAAAUCUGCCAAGACUAUCACUAUAUGCUCUUCCCAAUGUGAGUAUUCUUUGAUGCAGGGUAAAAAUUGGGAAAAGCUAAUAGCAAGUCUGGACAAAAUGUAAUUCUGUUAACCUCAUCCCCAGGCUAUUGACAAAGUGCAGAUACAGUAAAUGUCUGGGAAUGAUAUUACAAUUCUAUUGAAGUUGAUGUCUGUAAGCAGGAAGUCGCCCUGCUAUGUAUGAUGAUGUCAUAUUGCUGCUGUGUCUAAAUGUGACUGUUCCUCGCUGUGCGUGUAUGUGUUAGUGAGGGAGACGAAGACCCAGCUGCCUCUUGCUGCUCUAAGGAAGGUGUG
rnacentral:lncRNA from 8 species